CAAUAGCGUAUAUUAAAGUUGUUGCAGUUAAAAAGCUCGUAGUUGGAUUUCUGGUUGAAGCGACCGGUCGGGCGUUGGUUCGUCUGCACUGGAGUCGGUUUUGGCCAUCCUCUAGGAAAGUGCGUCUGGUAUUAAGUUAUCGGGCGUAUGAUCCUGGUCUUUUACUGUGAAAAAAUUAGAGUGUUUAAAGCAGGCCUUCGCCUUGAAUACAUUAGCAUGGAAUAAUAAGAUAGGACUUUGGUCUAUUUUGUUGGUUUGCAGACCGAAGUAAUGAUUAAUAGGGAUAGUUGGGGGUAUUUAUAUUCCGAUGUCAGAGGUGAAAUUCUUAGAUUUUCGGAAGAUAAACUUAUGCGAAAGCAUUUACCAAGGAUGUUUUCAUUAA
rnacentral:rRNA from 1 species